GGAUCACGUACAUCUCCAGUUCAGCUGCAGUAUCUUGGAGUUUCUUGCCUAUGUAGGGGGCAGCUGAGUCCCUCUCCUGAACUCCAACCUCAUAGGAGGGUGUAACUCUGAAAUCCUGCAGUUGCAGCUUCUCCAAGAUGCUUUUUCCUCUAAUGUGUCUUGAGUUAGAUUGUCUGUUUUCUGUUUAUUAUGUUUCCCUAUGAUCACUGCACAUUCCAUUC
rnacentral:lncRNA from 1 species